UGAGCUUCAGUGCGACAUAAAUUUUCAAAUAAAACUUGUUAUCACAUGAUAUCUGGCGUUAUCAUAUCUCGUUAAUCAUCAAUGAUGAUAACGUGUAAGUCAUAUUACGCAGUGCAUGUUUUAUAUAAAAGCGUUCGUUCGUUUGCCAGUGUCGGUCAAAAAUUUGCACUAAACUUUACAGUGCACAGCAGGGCGCAUAAGUAAUCAUUAAAAUGUCAUAUAAAUUAAAUCUUACAUUAUCAGCGGUCGGCGUCGUCAUAACAACCGUUUUUUUUCAAGAAACAUUGUCCCUUAGCCGCUCGGUCAAUCUGGCGCAUGC